rnacentral:tRNA from 1 species
GAGACAUUGGUGUAGCAGCAGCACAAAGGUUUGUGGAGCCUUCGGCAGGGGUGCAAAUCCCCUAUGUCUCC